GAUGAACGCUAGCUAUAGGCCUAACACAUGCAAGUCGAGGGACCGGCGCACGGGUGAGUAACGCGUAUCCAACCUGCCCAUAACUAAGGGAUAACCCAGCGCAAGUUGGACUAAUACCUUAUGGUUAUGGAUGGGGAUGCGUCUGAUUAGCUUGUUGGCGAGGUAACGGCCCACCAAGGCAACGAUCAGUAGGGGUUCUGAGUGGAAGGUCACCCAGAUUUGAACUGAGACACAGUCCAAACUGCUACGGGGGGGAGGAGAGAGGAAUAUUGGGCAAGGGACGCGAGGCUGACCAAGCCAAGUAGGGUGCAGGAGGACGGCCUAUGGGUGGUAAACUGCUUUUAAAUGAGGAUAGGUACCAUAUGAAUAAGGACCGGCUAAUUCCGUGCCAGCAGCCGCGGUAAUUC
rnacentral:rRNA from 1 species